GUCUAACCCCUGAGCAGAGGCCGAGUGCUGGGAGCCGAUGCAGCUGAGGCAGCUGAGUCAGGACGACUUCGUGGCGGGCCGUGGACCAACCCUGGGGCAUCUGUACUCCCUUCAGGAAGGUGAAUUCCCAGGAUGCUGAAAUAAGCAACCACAGAGCCCCGUGGUCCACUGUUGAAAGUGCCGCAUCACCCAUCUCUUCAUGCCAAGCCCAUUUGUUUUGACUCUGCCAGACAAGUGAGUUGGUCCUAUUUUAAGGUCUCUAGAGAAGUGGGAGACUUCCUCCGUAAC
rnacentral:lncRNA from 9 species